CCUACGGGGUGCUGCAGUGGGGAAUAUUGGACAAUGGGCGAAAGCCUGAUCCAGCCAUGCCGCGUGUGUGAAGAAGGCCUUCGGGUUGUAAAGCACUUUCAGUGGGGAAGAAAGCCUUGGGGCUAAUACCCUCGAGGAAGGACAUCACCCACAGAAGAAGCACCGGCUAACUCCGUGCCAGCAGCCGCGGUAAUACGGAGGGUGCGAGCGUUAAUCGGAAUUACUGGGCGUAAAGCGCGCGUAGGCGGUCUGAUAAGCCGGUUGUGAAAGCCCCGGGCUCAACCUGGGAACGGCAUCCGGAACUGUCAGGCUAGAGUGCAGGAGAGGAAGGUAGAAUUCCCGGUGUAGCGGUGAAAUGCGUAGAGAUCGGGAGGAAUACCGGUGGCGAAGGCGGCCUUCUGGACUGACACUGACGCUGAGGUGCGAAAGCGUGGGUAGCAAACAGGAUUAGAUACCCGAGUAGUC
rnacentral:rRNA from 1 species